AUGCCUGCUGGGGCUUGAAGUCCGCACCACCGAGACCCGGGAGCUCCUCUCCAAACUUAAGAAUUCGAUGCUGGAGACGUGGGACUCAGUAAAGAUACUGAAAACUACAUCUUGACCCUGGUGAGAGCCACAACUUCUCCCCCUGACCUCUGCUUGACCAGCUGUCAGCUCCACCCCAGGAGAAACCUGCCUUGGUUCCUGAUCUGAUCACCAUGGUCUGAUGCAGGGGAGCAAACCCAGGAUCUCGGGCAUGUGAGACAAGCACUGAUACCUGAACAUUCCUAAGAUAUGUCCUUAAGUUAAAAAAAGCAAGAUGCAGAACUGAUCAAGUGAGAAUAUUAUUGAUUCAAAAAUUUUUAAAUUUGAUUCCUCUCCUGCUACCACUUAAGUGACUUAUUACUUAAUUCAUAACCACCUCACUUCUUUAGCUACACACACAAG